GGCCGCGCUCGGCUGCGGGGGGCGGGGCUGCCGGCCAGCAUGGCGGCCGAGCUCGAGGGCUCCAAGGCGCUGGGCGGGCUGCUGAGCGGCCUGGCCCAGGAAGCUUUCUACGGGCACCAGGGCAUCACGGAGGAGCUGCUGCGGAGCCAGCUCUAUCCGGAGGUGUCCCUCGAGGAGUUCCGCCCCUUUCUGGCGAAGAUGAGGGGCAUCCUUAAGUCGAUUGCAUCUGCAGACAUGGAUUUCAACCAGCUGGAGGCAUUCUUGACUGCUCAAACCAAAAAGCAAGGUGGGAUCACAUCUGACCAAGCUGCUGUCAUUUCCAAAUUUUGGAAGAACCAUAAGACAAAAAUUCGAGAGAGCCUCAUGAACCAGAGCCGUUGGGACAGUGGGCUUCGGGGCCUGAGUUGGAGAGUUGAUGGCAAAUCACAGUCAAGGCAUUCAGCUCAAAUACAUACCCCUGUUGCCAUAAUGGAGCUGGAAAUAGGAAAAAGUGGACAGGGGUCAUUUGACUUUCAUUUGAAGUUCUAAUAGACGGAAGGGGGAAAAACAGAAAAAUGAUGGAACAUUGGAGUUAUUAAUAACAGAAAAACCCAAAUUAAAUUAGAUUCCAAAUCUCAAAGGAAUCAGAAUUUCUGUGUUUGGAAUUUGAUGAAGUCAAGGUCAGUCAACUCCUAAAGAAGCUCUCAGAGGUAGAAGAAAGUAUCAGCACACUGAUGCAGCCAGCCUAGCUGAAGAUGGAGUUGUUGAAGCAAAGGUGUUCAUGAUCCAUCCCCAGUGACCUGCGAUUUUUUUUUAAUCUUAUUCCCCCAUUUUAUUAAAUCCUCAAAUUCAAA